rnacentral:rRNA from 1 species
UACGUAGGUGGCAAGCGUUAUCCGGAUUUAUUGGGUGUAAAGGGCGUGUAGGCGGGAGCGCAAGUCAGAUGUGAAAACUCAGGGCUCAACCCUGAGCCUGCAUUUGAAACUGUGUUUCUUGAGUGCUGGAGAGGCAAUCGGAAUUCCAUGUGUAGCGGUGAAAUGCGUAGAUAUACGGAGGAACACCAGUGGCGAAGGCGGAUUGCUGGACAGUAACUGACGCUGAGGCGCGAAAGCGUGGGGAGCAAACAGG